UACGUAGGGGGCAAGCGUUGUCCGGAUUUAUUGGGCGUAAAGAGCGUGUAGGCGGCCUGGAAGGUCAGCUGUGAAAACUCGAGGCUCAACCUCGAGACGUCGGUUGAAACCACCUGGCUAGAGUCCGGAAGAGGAGAAUGGAAUUCCCGGUGUAGCGGUGAAAUGCGCAGAUAUCGGGAAGAACACCCGUGGCGAAGGCGGUUCUCUGGGACGGUACUGACGCUGAGACGCGAAAGCGUGGGAGCGAACAGG
rnacentral:rRNA from 1 species